GCCUGGGGGGCUCAGUCGGUUGAGCGUCCGACUUCGGCUCAGGUCAUGAUCUCACAGUCUGUGAGUUCGAGCCCCACAUCAGGCU
rnacentral:tRNA from 1 species